AAAGUUCAAGUGUGGGAUUAAAAGGAUAAAGCAACAUUUGGUGGGUGGAUAUGGAGAUGUUGCGAAGUGCACCAAGACAACUGCAGCAAUUGCUCAAGAGAUGAAUGCAGCUUUAAUGCGUAAUAGGAAGAAGAAAUGAUGAAGACA